rnacentral:piRNA from 1 species
UCAGUGUGUGAGCAUCCAUGAUUCUCCCUGU